UUAUAUGAGAGUUUGAUCCUGGCUCAGGACGAACGCUGGCGGCAUGCCUAAUACAUGCAAGUCGAACGCACGAAGUUGAAAAGCUUGCUUUUCGACCAAGUGAGUGGCGGACGGGUGAGUAACACGUGGGUAACCUGCCCAUAAGAGGGGGAUAACAUCCGGAAACGGAUGCUAAUACCGCAUAUUUCAAAUGACCGCAUGGUCGCUUGAUGAAAGGUGGCUUCGGCUACCGCUUAUGGAUGGACCCGCGGUGCAUUAGUUAGUUGGUGAGGUAAUGGCUCACCAAGACAAUGAUGCAUAGCCGACCUGAGAGGGUGAUCGGCCACACUGGGACUGAGACACGGCCCAGACUCCUACGGGAGGCAGCAGUAGGGAAUCUUCCGCAAUGGACGAAAGUCUGACGGAGCAAUGCCGCGUGAGUGAAGAAGGUUUUCGGAUCGUAAAACUCUGUUGUUAGAGAAGAACAAGGAUGAGAGUA
rnacentral:rRNA from 1 species